rnacentral:rRNA from 1 species
CCUACGGGAGGCAGCAGUGAGGAAUAUUGGUCAAUGGACGAGAGUCUGAACCAGCCAAGUAGCGUGAAGGAUGACUGCCCUAUGGGUUGUAAACUUCUUUUAUAAAGGAAUAAAACGAGCCACGUGUGCCUUUUUGCAUGUACUUUAUGAAUAAGGAUCGGCUAACUCCGUGCCAGCAGCCGCGGUAAUACGGAGGAUCCGAGCGUUAUCCGGAUUUAUUGGGUUUAAAGGGAGCGUAGAUGGGUUGUUAAGUCAGUUGUGAAAGUUUGCGGCUCAACCGUAAAAUUGCAAUUGAUACUGGCAGUCUAGAGUACAGUUGAGGUAAGCGGAAUGCGUGGUGUAGCGGUGAAAUGCUUAGAUAUCACGAAGAACCCCGAUUGCGAAGGCAGCUUACUAAACUGUGACUGACAUUGAUGCUCGAAAGUGUGGGUAUCAAACAGGAUUAGAUACCCCUGUAGUC